rnacentral:rRNA from 1 species
GUGAGGAAUUUUGGACAAUGGGCGCAAGCCUGAUCCAGCAAUGCCGCGUGCAGGAAGAAGGCCUUCGGGUUGUAAACUGCUUUUGUACGGAACGAAACGGUCCUGGCUAAUACCCGGGGCUAAUGACGGUACCGUAAGAAUAAGCACCGGCUAACUACGUGCCAGCAGCCGCGGUAAUACGUAGGGUGCGAGCGUUAAUCGGAAUUACUGGGCGUAAAGCGUGCGCAGGCGGUGCUGUAAGACAGGCGUGAAAUCCCCGGGCUCAACCUGGGAAUUGCGCUUGUGACUGCAGUGCUGGAGUGCGGCAGAGGGGGAUGGAAUUCCGCGUGUAGCAGUGAAAUGCGUAGAUAUGCGGAGGAACACCGAUGGCGAAGGCAAUCCCCUGGGCCUGCACUGACGCUCAUGCACGAAAGCGUGGGGAGCAAACAGGAUUAGAUACCCGAGUAGUCC